rnacentral:rRNA from 1 species
AUUGAACGCUGGCGGCAUGCCUUACACAUGCAAGUCGAACGGUAACGGGCCUUCGGGUGCCGACGAGUGGCGCACGGGUGAGUAAUACAUCGGAACGUGCCCGAUCGUGGGGGAUAACGAGGCGAAAGCUUUGCUAAUACCGCAUACGAUCUACGGAUGAAAGCAGGGGACCGCAAGGCCUUGCGCGGACGGAGCGGCCGAUGGCAGAUUAGGUAGUUGGUGGGAUAAAAGCUUACCAAGCCGACGAUCUGUAGCUGGUCUGAGAGGAUGAUCAGCCACACUGGGACUGAGACACGGCCCAGACUCCUACGGGAGGCAGCAGUGGGGAAUUUUGGACAAUGGGCGCAAGCCUGAUCCGGCCAUGCCGCGUGCAGGAUGAAGGCCUUCGGGUUGUAAACUGCUUUUGUACGGAACGAAAAGCCUUCUUUUAAUACAGGAGGGUCAUGACGGUACCGUAAGAAUAAGCACCGGCUAACUACGUG